rnacentral:rRNA from 1 species
GAUGAACGCUGGCGGCGUGCCUAAUACAUGCAAGUCGAGCGAACGGACGAGAAGCUUGCUUCUCUGAUGUUAGCGGCGGACGGGUGAGUAACACGUGGAUAACCUACCUAUAAGACUGGGAUAACUUCGGGAAACCGGAGCUAAUACCGGAUAAUAUUUUGAACCGCAUGGUUCAAAAGUAAAAGACGGUCUUGCUGUCACUUAUAGAUGGAUCCGCGCUGCAUUAGCUAGUUGGUAAGGUAACGGCUUACCAAGGCAACGAUGCAUAGCCGACCUGAGAGGGUGAUCGGCCACACUGGAACUGAGACACGGUCCAGACUCCUACGGGAGGCAGCAGUAGGGAAUCUUCCGCAAUGGGCGAAAGCCUGACGGAGCAACGCCGCGUGAGUGAUGAAGGUCUUCGGAUCGUAAAACUCUGUUAUUAGGGAAGAACAUAUGUGUAAGUAACUGUACACAUCUUGACGGUACCUAAUCAGAAAGCCACGGCUAACUACGUG